rnacentral:tRNA from 1 species
GGAGAGAUGGCUCAAUGUUAAGAGCACUCACUGACUGCUCUUCCAAAGGACCUGGGUUCAAUUCCCAGCAUCCCCA